AGAAGCUUAUCAGUGACGCAACAGACAGACAAAGCACAACUGUAAGCUUCCUUUUAUCCGAUUCUACAAUGAAUGAAAACAUUGUUAUAAUCUUCUCUUCACACACAAUAAUUAUAAAGGGCCAAAGAGCGUGCAGUUAUACCUAAUUCUGAAGCAGCCAACCUCACAUAGAUAUCCUGCCCAUUAUCAGGAAGGAUUCUAAUAUCCACCAACUUAUUAAACCAUGUGAGGCAACCACAUCCUCCUGUGGAAAGCUCCAUCAUUCCAUAGGCCAAGCAAGAGCAAUUACUCAAGCACGCCGCUUUGCAGUCAUGAAUGCUCAUAUUAACAUUCACCAAAUCCCCUGAAGAAUCUGGCAAUUUUACAUUGCUGAUUCUUUUAAACCCCUCUCCAUUUUUGCAGGUUUGAUUGUCCCUUAUAACGCAGCCUCCUAUCCAGCGACGCUUAUUCCAAUCGUCUGGCGAUUUUGGUUGAUACCCAUGAAUGCAAUCGCAGCGCGGUAUGGUAGAAAAUGUACAAACACCAAAAUUUCCGCAGAGUCCGUAGUAAUCGCAGGCAUCUCCCGGUAAUUCAUACAGAAGGUACCAAUCAUUUACAUCAUCCAUCCAAUAAAAUUGUUCGAAUUUCCCUUCUGCGCUCAGUGCAUAUCUUACAGUAAGAUCUUUUGCAGACUCGUAUGAAUAGAAUGCUCCUUCCGCACUAUAAUUGAACCGUGGAGAAUGAAUAGCUGUAUCUCUAAAAGGGGUAGUGCCACUAAACCUCCUACCGAACCAUGGGCCACCCCUGUAUGUUGUUACAUUUCCUCUGCGAGUUUCAAGCU
rnacentral:lncRNA from 1 species